AGGCAAAGAAGAAGCAGGGUGGUUAAAUUAGCGUGCUGGAAUCUUUUCAGUUUGUCGCAGAGUAGAAAAAUAAAAAAAGGAAAAAAAAGGCUCAGUAAUUUAAAUUUGCUCUCAGUUCAGGCUGCAAUGCUGGGUCCCGCCCCUUCUUCCGGCUGGGUUCCACUACCUGUAAGGCUGGAACUGACAGCCACUGUGCAAACAAAAAAAGGCAACAAGCAUGCUGGGACCAUUCUGUCUGCUGUUUGGGUCUCACUUGCCCUGACAACUAAAAAUCAUCAGUGGAAAGAUUUCUGAAAAUAUGAUUGGAUCCAGAAAUGGAUGAGAGAUUGCCUUGAAGAUUAAGUGAUUUAAUCACAGAAAGAAGAGCCAUGUUAAAAAAAAAAAAAAGUACGUUUCAAAUUGAUGAAUGAAAACAGCCUUUGAAUGAUGGAUUAGAAAAUGUAUUUGUUCCAUAAAAAAAUACCUCACGGUAGAAAAUAAAUGUUCUCAAUAUCAA